rnacentral:rRNA from 1 species
CAAUAGCGUAUAUUAAAGUUGUUGCGGUUAAAAAGCUCGUAGUUGGAUUUCUGCCGAGGACGACCGGUCCGCCCUCUGGGUGAGUAUCUGGCUCGGCCUGGGCAUCUUCUUGGAGAACGUAGCUGCACUUGACUGUGUGGUGCGGUAUCCAGGACUUUUACUUUGAGGAAAUUAGAGUGUUUCAAGCAGGCUUACGCCUUGAAUACAUUAGCAUGGAAUAAUAAGAUAGGACCUCGGUUCUAUUUUGUUGGUUUUGAGAGCUGGGGCAGCGAUUGAUAGGGACGGAUGGGGGCGUCCGAACUUUACUGUCAGAGGUGAAAUUCUUAGAUCGGUCAAAGGCGAACUACUGCGAACGCAUUCGCCAAGAAUGUUUUCUUUAA